rnacentral:snRNA from 1 species
AGCUUUGCGCAGUGGCAGUAUCGUAGCCAAUGAGGUUUAUCCGAGGCGCGAUUAUUGUUAGUUGAAAAACCAGAAUUUAAACCAUCUUAGAUGCAUCAGUUAAAGAAAUAUCUUGGUGGGGCUGGUGAGCU